CUUAUAGAGACUUCCCGAAAUAUAAAAGUCUCCAGCGAUGGCUCAACCAUUGACUGUGAUGAGUUCAUGGGUGACACAUGUGACAAAGACUAGCCAACUGUCCAAGCAGAAUGGACCAUUGACUUGUAUUUUCAAUAUUCAAGAUGAACUUCAGUGGAGAAAGCAGGGCUGCAACUAAUUGGCAAGGAAACGAUAUGCGCCUUUCUAUGUUGGUUAGUGAUGAUGAGAACCACAGCUGACAGCUCCAAACUUCAGUAAUCUUUCAGCGAGCAUGUCAUUAAUUAUGCACCCAGUUUGUCAGUACAUUUGCUCCUUUAGUUCUUCAGAGCCGACCAGUACGUGUGGCGUAUUUUGUGCUAAUUUCAGUCUUUAAUCGAAAACUGUCUGCACUUGUGCAUUGAUUCUUCAUAGUUCAGGUUGACUUGAUGUUGCUCUUCAUAAUGGUAAAAAUAGAGAAGCAAACAGUAUUGGUUGA